rnacentral:rRNA from 1 species
AGAACGAACGCUGGCGGCAGGCCUCAAACAUGCAAGUCUAGGGGGUGUAGCAAUACAUCACCGGCGGACGGGUGCGUAACGCGUGGGAAUGUACCUAUUGGUUCGGAACAACUGAGGGAAACUUCAGCUAAUACCGGAUGAGCCCGAAAGGGGAAAGAUUUCUCGCCAAUAGAUCAGCCCGCGUCCGAUUAGCUAGUUGGUGGGGUUAAAGCCUACCAAGGCGACGAUCGGUAGCUGUUCUGAGAGGAAGAUCAGCCACACUGGGACUGAGACACGGCCCAGACUCCUACGGGAGGCAGCAGUUGGGAAUCUUGGACAAUGGGGGAAACCCUGAUCCAGCCAUGCCGCGUGAGUGAUGAAGGCCUUCGGGUUGUAAAACUCUUUCGACGGGGACGAUAAUGACGGUACCCGUAGAAGAGCUCCGGCUAACUUCGUGCCAGCAGCCGC